GAUGAACGCUGGCGGCGUGCCUAAUACAUGCAAGUCGAACGAGGUGCUUUUGUAGCAAUACGAGAGUAUCCUAGUGGCGAACGGGUGAGUAACGCGUUGGUGACCUACCCCAAAGUGUGGGAUAACAGAUCGAAAGAUCUGCUAAUACCGCAUGUGGUCUUCGGAUUUAGAAACUGGUGACUAAAGGAGCAAUUCGCUUUGGGAGGGACCUGCGUCCCAUCAGCUAGUUGGUGAGGUAACGGCUCACCAAGGCGACGACGGGUAGGGGACCUGAGAGGGUGGCCCCCCACAAUGGAACUGAAACACGGUCCAUACACCUACGGGUGGCAGCAGUAGGGAAUAUUGCUCAAUGGGCGAAAGCCUGAAGCAGCAACGCCGCGUGUGCGAUGAAGGCCUUCGGGUCGUAAAGCACUUUUCUGAGGGAUGAGAAAGGACAGUACCUCAGGAAUAAGUCUCGGCUAACUACGUGUCAGCCGCCGCAGUAAAAC
rnacentral:rRNA from 1 species